rnacentral:rRNA from 1 species
AGUGAACGCUGGCGGUAGGCCUAAUACAUGCAAGUCGAACGGCAGCACAGUAAGAGCUUGCUCUUACGGGUGGCGAGUGGCGGACGGGUGAGGAAUACAUCGGAAUCUACUUUUUCGUGGGGGAUAACGUAGGGAAACUUACGCUAAUACCGCAUACGACCUACGGGUGAAAGCAGGGGAUCUUCGGACCUUGCGCGAUUGAAUGAGCCGAUGUCGGAUUAGCUAGUUGGCGGGGUAAAGGCCCACCAAGGCGACGAUCCGUAGCUGGUCUGAGAGGAUGAUCAGCCACACUGGAACUGAGACACGGUCCAGACUCCUACGGGAGGCAGCAGUGGGGAAUAUUGGACAAUGGGCGCAAGCCUGAUCCAGCCAUACCGCGUGGGUGAAGAAGGCCUUCGGGUUGUAAAGCCCUUUUGUUGGGAAAGAAAAGCAGCAGGUUAAUACCCCGCUGUUCUGACGGUACCCAAAGAAUAAGCACCGGCUAACUUCGU